UACGUAGGGUGCGAGCGUUGUCCGGAUUUACUGGGCGUAAAGAGCUCGUAGGCGGCUUGUCGCGUCGUCCGUGAAAACUUGGGGCUCAACCCCAAGCUUGCGGUCGAUACGGGCAGACUAGAGGUAUGCAGGGGAGAACGGAAUUCCUGGUGUAGCGGUGAAAUGCGCAGAUAUCAGGAGGAACACCGGUGGCGAAGGCGGUUCUCUGGGCAUUACCUGACGCUGAGGAGCGAAAGUGUGGGGAGCGAACAGG
rnacentral:rRNA from 1 species